rnacentral:miRNA from 1 species
ACACUUGUUGGGAUGACCUGC